AAAGACAUGUUUUGCCUGCUCACUCAAGGCGAUGCAAACUUUUGAGCGCAACUGUGUGUAUACACAGGAAGUCAAUGUGAGCCAACACGUCAGAGAAAACACUGGCUCAGAUUGUCUUAUUCAUGGUCUGGCCAGAGAUGUUGCUGGAACGUGGCGGCACAAGGAAAUCCCCCAUGCCGAUUACCCAUCUUUUCUAUGGUGUUUAGAGUCAGUAUUAUUAGUUUACCCGUUUGAGGGCAACCACCCAUGGGGUCUUUUUGUUUUGGGUAAUGUAACAGAAGUAAUUGAUUGAUAACUUGUGAUUUGGGGGCUGAGCAAAUCCUAGACUCGCCCCCUGGUGGCAAAUACUGGGGAACCAUUGUCUUAUUCCUUUGAUGCGCUUGCGUAAAAGUUUUUCACUGUGACUUUUACAACUGUUUUAGUUAAGAUGUGAUCUGUCACGCAAAUUCAUACUCGAUUGGCAAAAUCUUUAUUGUGAUUAGGUAUACAACGACCGAUGGCCUAGUGGUCCACUUGGGUACCUUCAAACCACGGCACUGGUGAGAAUGUCCCCAUGGUCCUAAAGCUAGCCCGCGGGGGUGCCUAGUUGGUUUGGACAUUCUGACGUAUUCAAAAUGUGAAUGAUUUGAGGAGCAUUUUAAUUGUUUUGCUGUUGACCCAGUAGAUGUUCCUAUUAGUCAUUAUUUGAUAACUAGAUCAGAGCUCUGGUCUCAAUCGCCCUAUUGUUAUUCAAUAGCCUGGUCAACUUUCCUCAAAAAGUCACUGCUUCUUUGUCUCUGUGUGUCUGUUGCUGCUAAUGUUGUCAUUGUCACAAAAUGAUCUUGUUUAUCCAUUAUGUUCUUCUAGUUGUGGUAAUUUUGUAGACGAUGGGACGAGGCUGUGGUGGAGAAGAAACCAUCUAUGAUUUUCCAGGUGACGAACAAGGAACCCAGCCUUUAGGUUCAAGGUGUAUCAAACUGGCUGUAUUCCUGCUGAUAGCAUUAUCAGGAAUACUUACAGUUUUCAUUAGACUGUAUAUUAAUGAAAACCAUCAGUUAAAAAAGGUCACAGCACUGACGGCACCUCUGUUAAAUGACGGAUCUGAGGCGAAAGAAGGACUUCUGAAGAGAAUUUCAGACCUUGAAAAUGCCAGUUCGGAAGGAUGGAGGUACUUCAACAACAGUUUCUACUACCUUUCUGAUGAUGCCUACUCCUGGCACCAGAGCAGGCAGUUCUGUCUGGAUAGAGGAGCACACCUGGUGAUCGUGAACAGCAGAGAGGAGCAGGAUUUUCUGAUUAAAGUGGUGAAAGAGAACAGAGGGGAUGGAGUCUGGAUUGGUUUGAGCAAUGUCGAUGGAGACAACCGAUCCACAUGGGCCCCGAACGCUGUGGAGUCAGACACUGCAGUGUCACCACCUCUGAAGAAAGGCUGUGUCAAACUACAAGUCUAUGAUAACCCUCUAGUAAGGGAAGUCAGUGGGGGGAAAUGUGAGGUACAAAAAUACUGCAUUUGUCAAAAGCUCAUGACAGUGUAAAACCUGAUGGCGAGGGAGGAAGGAAACCCAGGCCAAACCUGAAAUAUAUUUUUAUUUUACACGAGUCCUCGUACAGAGGUUUCCUCCUGAGUCACUGUGGAAGGGACUUCCCACCAAACGACCAGAAGUCACACGGAAGAUUCACAGGGUCUACUAAUAUGGUAUACAUCUAACCCACCGUAUUAAAUUUAUCAAAAUUGAAAUCCCAAAACGCAAACAAAAUAUUUGUCAUGUUCAAAUACUUCCAUAGCUACAAAGUUCCAUCCCACAUUACCUGUCUUCAUGCCACUAGACUCAGAAAUGAAAUGUCCAACCAGGACGGCGACUGAAACCGCACCUAGAUCUUCAGCACAGAUCGCCAUCUUGUGGCCUGAAAGUAAAUCUCAGUAAUUCCCCCCCAAAUAUCCAGAUUCAAGGACCAAGCAAAUCAAUUCUACAUACACUGUUGCCCAAACCAAUAAAGACACUUUGCGUUCUGAAUUCUAAAAAAUUAUCCUAAAAAAAACCUGAAUUGAAGCAUGCACAGUGGUAUUUGGACUAUAUUCAAUAAUUAUCUACAUUUUAAAAAGCUGUUAUUAUCUAGAAUCCACUGACCACUGUUGCAUUCACCAGUUUUUCUAUUAUUUGUUUUUCUAUUCCUUUCAGCUCUGGUAAGGUAGCACAACCAGCUAUCUUUACUAACUGCAUGCUACUUUUCUAAGCACAUCUCUUAUUUGUUUUACAUAUUUAGCUUUAUUUGCACAAGCCUUUAAAUUAAGAAGCAAGGGGUAGAGAGAGACAUAAUUUAACUUCCAGACACUUUUGUGUUUUUUCUUGUAAAUAAGCAUGUUUCUGUAUCACUUGCUGGCUGUCUUUUUCUUUCGUCUGAUAGUCAUUUUUUGCAUGUCAAGGGAUGUUGUCAAAAGCUCUGACACUCAAUCCAAUGUCCAACGUCAUCCUUGAGUUCACUGUGCGGUGCUGCAUGUGCUCUUUAAGACUCUUGUCCUGUCCUCUGUCUGUGAUAAUGCCCUUAUG